CUGCACAUUCAGAAGUGAAGUUGUAAAGUUUAGUGUUUUCUUCUCAAAGUUUUUCUGGUUCUGGCUAACAAAUUUGAUUCACCCCAAGACAAUGCAUCAAUAUAAAAUUAUAAUCGCAUCCAUUUGCAUCUUCGCCGGCCUCAUCUCAUCCACUGUAAACCUCAGCGUUGAAACGACAAAUUUGUGUUCAUCAGACGCAUCGCCGAAAUUGCGUCAACUUUGCCUACUGGCGUCUUUGGAACAGUUCCUGUCAGAAAACCCAUCUCGAUCAAACGCUGAUGUCCAGGACACGCAACUCUACGAUCGGGGAACGAAGAGGCAAGAUGUUGACCACGUAUUUUUACGUUUUGGAAGACGUCUCGGACUAUAGAGGUCUGCAUAAUCAAAUCAUAGGCUUAUUUGUUUACUCUUUUUCGCUCUCAAAAAGUAAUUAAGCAAAAUUUGUUGAUACGUUCUAAAAUUAGUUCCUUCGCACCAAUGUGUAAAUGAAUAUGAUUAUAUAUUUAUAAAUAUUAA